rnacentral:lncRNA from 1 species
AUUAGCUAAUGGUAAAGCAGGUGUCCUAGGGUGACUACAGGGCAGACAGAAACCUCCCAUAGAACACGGGGCAAAAGCUUCCUUAAUUUUGGUAUUUGCGCAAGAACCCAGACCAGAGGCAGAACCUCACCGUCUUCCCAAAAUAGAGCUAAGUGAGUUCUAGUGACUGGCGCAUUCAGCCUUCACUUCGUUAAUACAGUGCCGUGGUUAAGAGCCUCGGCUUAAAUCCUGGCUCUGCUGCUCUGUCUGUGAGUGUUACUUAACCUCUCUUGUGCCUUAGUUUUCUCAUCUGUAAAAUGGGGAUAAUAGUGCCUACCUCAUAAGGAUGUUACAAGGAUUGAAUUCGUUAGUACCUGGAAAGUUCUUAGAACACCAUCUGGUACUCAAUAAAUGUCAGAUAUUUCUUUUCCCUGAUUUUGAGAGCGCUAGGCAGAAACACUGUAACAUACCAUGAGCUUUCGUGAUGACAAACAGCUGGAUUCCCCUGACUGCACUUUCAGGUGAGAUGUCAGCCUGGAAGCCUCCGGAACCAGGAUCCAGCGGUGUGGGAGAGGUGCUGCCCCAGGACCUCUGUAGCCUGCCAGAAACUGCCCUCCAUCUUGCCCCCACAGGUCCCUCAAAGACCAUGUCUGUUUACCUUUGGGUGCUCAUAGCCGACAGAGUGCCAGGUAUAGUAGCACUAAAUAUAUUUUCUAAGUGGAUGAAAGCCAUUCAUUCAGAAUGACUCACUAGUCCUCAAAAGAUGGGGGGUAUUUUAUGCCUAACUGUAAUAGUAAUAACUAACAUUUGUUGGCUGCUCUUUAUUAACUAAGCACAGAAAAAAUCCUAGAUGCAUUAUCCUAAAGCAUUUAUAACCCUUAAACCAUUUGGUUGCUAUUUUUAUUACCUACAAAUUUCAACUCUUUUUGGUUCUCUUUGGCAAACGUUCUUAAAAGUGCAUGAAGCUGCAUGUCUUAAGCACAUUCUCAAACUGUUUAGGUACCUUAUAGCAAUGUAGUGGAAUGACCAGCAGAUGGAGACAGAGAACACAAAAUUACUCAGAUUCUGGUCCUUUACCAAAGCUGUGUUUGUGUCUCAGGAGCCACAGCGCCUGCUAUCAGGCUGCUCCCGUUAGAAUUCUGGCUCUCAAACCUGGCUGCACACUGCAAUCACCCGGGGAACUUUAAAAGAUACAGCUUCUCGGUUUAGUGGUCUGAGGUGCAAUUUUGCCAUGGGGAGGUUUAAAAUCUGCACAAGUGAUUCAAAUCACAGCAAAGCUCGCGACCUACUGCUGGAGAACACACAACCACAGCGGGUCUCGAGCUGGCGUGUUUCAGAAUCACCUGGAGAACCUGUGAAAAACAGAGACCCAGGCUGUUGUGGUCUUCAUCCUUUUGAGAAGCAGUGCCUACUGAAAUGGUGAUGCAUUAAACUUCAGAUAGUUAAAUAUAUAAUCAGGACUAAAUCUGAUAGAGUCUCGUCUUAGAUUCUAAUGCAUCAGAGUAACUGCAGGCAUCAAAUGUUUAAGAAAAUUUUAUAGGAGAAAAAUUUGAAUUGAGAAAACGCUAACCAUGAACUUAAUUUUUCCCUGGAAAUGGAAAGAAGAUGAGCUGGGCCACCUCUGGACGGUCUUGUGGAACACAGGAGCAGCUUCCCACGCCGGCCAGCAGACUUCCUCUCCGGAGAAGUACAGCCUGUGCUUG